UCCCUGUUGGCUUAUUUGGCAAAGAACCCGCCUGCAAUGCGGGAGACCUGGGUUUGAUCCCUAGGUUGCGAA
rfam:TPA: Bos taurus chromosome 1, whole genome shotgun sequence.